rnacentral:misc_RNA from 1 species
CAGUACUCAGGAGGCCCAAGCA